rnacentral:sRNA from 2 species
ACGCGAUACGGCCUAUCUGCGGCUUACGGUGCGGUUCCCGAGCGCCGUCAAUACCACCUGACCACUGCGCGCUCCGUUUGGGUAGGC